GACGAACGCUGGCGGCGUGCUUAACACAUGCAAGUCGAACGGAAAGGCCCUGCUUUUGUGGGGUUCUCGAGUGGCGAACGGGUGAGUAACACGUGAGUAACCUGCCCUUGACUUUGGGAUAACUUCAGGAAACUGGGUCUAAUACCGGAUAGGAUCUCCUGCUGCAUGGUGGGGGUUGGAAAGUUUCGGCGGUUGGGUCUGGACUCGCGGCUUAUCAGCUUGUUGGUGGGGUAGUGGCUUACCAAGGCUUUGACGGGUAGCCGGCCUGAGAGGGUGACCGGCCACAUUGGGACUGAGAUACGGCCCAGACUCCUACGGGAGGCAGCAGUGGGGAAUAUUGCACAAUGGGCGGAAGCCUGAUGCAGCAACGCUGCGUGCGGGAUGCCGGCCUUCGGGUUGUAAACCGCUUUCGCCUGUGCCGAAGCGUGAGUGACGGUAAUGGGUAAAGAAGCACCGGCUAACUACGUG
rnacentral:rRNA from 1 species